rnacentral:rRNA from 1 species
UAACACGUGGGGAACCUGCCCCAUAGUCUGGGAUACCACUUGGAAACAGGUGCUAAUACCGGAUAAGAAAGCGGAUCGCAUGAUCAGCUUUUAAAAGGCGGCGUAAGCUGUCGCUAUGGGAUGGCCCCGCGGUGCAUUAGCUAGUUGGUAAGGUAAAGGCUUACCAAGGCGAUGAUGCAUAGCCGAGUUGAGAGACUGAUCGGCCACAUUGGGACUGAGACACGGCCCAAACUCCUACGGGAGGCAGCAGAU